AUUGAACGCUGGCGGCAGGCCUGACACAUGCAAGUCGAGCGGAUGAGGGAAGCUUGCUUCCCGAUUUAGCGGCGGACGGGUGAGUAAUGCCUAGGAAUCUGCCUAUUAGUGGGGGAUAACGUUCCGAAAGGAACGCUAAUACCGCAUACGUCCUACGGGAGAAAGUGGGGGAUCUUCGGACCUCACGCUAAUAGAUGAGCCUAGGUCGGAUUAGCUAGUUGGUGAGGUAACGGCUCACCAAGGCGACGAUCCGUAGCUGGUCUGAGAGGAUGAUCAGCCACACUGGAACUGAGGCACGGUCCGGACUCCUACGGGAGGCAGCAGUGGGGAAUAUUGGACAAUGGGCGAAAGCCUGAUCCAGCCAUGCCGCGUGUGUGAAGAAGGUCUUCGGAUUGUAAAGCACUUUAAGUUGGGAGGAAGAGUUGUAAGCUAAUAUCUUGCAGCUUUGACGUUACCAACAGAAUAAGCACCGGCUAACUCUGUGCCAGCAGCCGCCGUAACAC
rnacentral:rRNA from 1 species